rnacentral:rRNA from 1 species
GAUGAACGCUGGCGGCGUGCCUAAUACAUGCAGGUCGAGCGAACGGACGAGAAGCUUGCUUCUCUGAUGUUAGCGGCGGACGGGUGAGUAACACGUGGAUAACCUACUUAUAAGACUGGGAUAACUUCGGGAAACCGGAGCUAAUACCGGAUAAUAUUUUGAACCGCAUGGUUCAAAAGUGAAAGACGGUCUUGCUGUCACUUAUAGAUGGAUCCGCGCUGCAUUAGCUAGUUGGUAAGGUAACGGCUUACCAAGGCAACGAUGCAUAGCCGACCUGAGAGGGUGAUCGGCCACACUGGAACUGAGACACGGUCCAGACUCCUACGGGAGGCAGCAGUAGGGAAUCUUCCGCAAUGGGCGAAAGCCUGACGGAGCAACGCCGCGUGAGUGAUGAAGGUCUUCGGAUCGUAAAACUCUGUUAUUAGGGAAGAACAUAUGUGUAAGUAACUGUGCACAUCUUGACGGUACCUAAUCAGAAAGCCACGGCUAACUACGUG